rnacentral:pre_miRNA from 1 species
UUUGUAUGUCAGCCUCUCAUUUGGCCUGCCUAGCUGACUUUAAAUUAAUAUUGCUAGCUGCCUUGUGAAGGGCUUACGUGUGAU